ACAAAUAACUUUACCCUUUUGCAUAAAAUUCUUGUAACUUUAUAUCUCCUUUUUUCUCUCCAUGUUUGUGAAGGUUAUCCGUAAUUGCUUAGAGAAUGACUUGUGCUCUAAAAUCCAGAUUACAAUUUCUUUUUUCUAAGUGGAUUAAAGUUAAUAUUCUCUGUCAAGCAGCUCUAUAUGCAAAUUUGUUGAGAGCACCAACACUUUUGCCGAGUCGAAGAAGUGAAAAUCAAACCAAACAAGCGUAUAAGAUGCUAUCUGAUUUCUUCAGAUAGGGAAUGAAUACUUUGGGGAGGACUUUGGUCAUGACAAAUGUCUAAUAAUUUGAAAGAGGAAGAAAAUAUUUUGAUGCAGGUUAUUGCUGCUUAUAGUGUUAAGUGUUGUGGCUUCUCUUCCCGUACCUUGCGGCUUUAUCUUUCUGCUUACAUAUGAAUCCAUGCAUAACAGCAUAAUCUCAUCUUUGGAAGUUAUUGUCAUGGGCCAAGUUUAAUACUUAGAUCGGUUUGGAAAAAUUCUUUGGAUGGCUCAUAUGAUGAUGUGUUAUGUGUAGUGACACUAAACGACAAAAAUUCAUGGAGAAGACAAACCUCAGGAUGCUUGUCAGUAAAACAAGGGAACAUGCGUUCCAUGAUCUAUUUCAUCUAAUGCUUCACAUGUAUUUUUUUUUUUAAGACAUGAAAGAUGAAUUUUGACAAGUUUUUAUAUGAUGACAGUCUCAAAAAUUUUUGGCAACCGAUUCACUAUGGUAGCGAGGUCUUGUUCGAAUCUUGGAAAAUAAAUGAUAUAUCAGGGAAGGAGAUGAGAAGGUAUGCUCUCAAAUCAACUUUUCUCUUCUCCUAGAGUAAUUUCUGGUCCAUUCAUUCAUUCACUACUAGAGUUGUUAAGCAUAGUUUCCUGGCAGUAGCUAGGACGUAAUUGUGAACUAGAUGAGAAUUUUUAUAGUUCAAGAGCAUUUGUCUUGGCAUGUAUUACUUAUGCAGUUUGUAUGCUUCCGUAUCUGUCGAAGUAUGAAUCUUUGAUAGAGGAUACGAGAAGAUGGCGAUGGGGAAUGAAUGCUGUUAAAGAAAAAUUAGUGUCGUGGCAUGACCCAAGAAUUUCAAUUUGAGAUAAACUCAAAUGGAAGUUAUUUUCAGUUUUAUUAUUUUCUAACUUCUUGUAACUGUUGUUGUUAGUUAUCCCUUUAAAACUUAUAAAAGGGAAUGUUAGAUGUACGUUUUAAUUGAGUUUAAUUAAUAAAAUUGUUCUCCUUUUACACAAGUUCAUCUUCUUCUGAAAUUAGAAGCCGAAUAACUGUAUUUCCUGGCUUCUAAUUUCCAACAAAUGGUAUCAAAGCAUUGUUGUCUUAAGGGACCUGUGGGAGAUGGGACCAAAGUUUGGAGAAGAAGAAGCCAACACUCAAAGCAAUAAGGGUGGUUGGUAGAAUUUGUUGGUGUAAAAUUGCAGCAUGAUUGUCUGCAAGGAUGCUGGCCGGUGGAAUCUGAAAAUGUCCUGAAACUCCGGUUAAAACAUGGAGGUAGAUGAAGAAUUGCAGUGAUUGUCUGCAAUGAUGCCGUUGAGAGGACUUGAUGAUGUCCUGGAAAAAGCACGAAGUGAAGAACAUGCUUUCUAAUUGUGAGAGACUCCAAUUGAAGUCUGGAGUGAGAAGAGACCAACACCCAAAGAAGUGGUAGGUCGUAUUUGUGAUGCUUACAUACUUGAGGAGUAAACUUGAAGAUGAGGCUGAAAAAGUCUUGGUUGAAGGAUUGGCAGCGUGGCAGUAACAUUAGCUGCGAGAAGAGCAGCAAGAUUGGCCGCAAGUUUGGCUGCAGAGUUGGCAGCAAAGCAGCAAGAUUGGUUGCAAGUUUGGCAUGACAGCCAUGAAGGCGUGAAGAGCCUUAAAGACAUGAUGAAGAACAUGUUUUAAAGUUUCUACCAAAAGAUUCAGGAGGAGUAUUGAAGUAUGAAUCUUUUGAUAGAGGAUACGAGAAGAUGGCAACAGGGAACAAAUGCGGUUAAAGAAAAAUUAGUGCUGUGGCAUGACCCAAGCAUUUCAGUUUGAGAUAAACUCAAAUGGAAGUUAUUUUUAAUUUUAUUAUUUUUUAAUUUCUUGUAACUGUUAUUGUCAGUUAUCCUUUUAAAACUUAUAGAAGGGAAUGUUGGAUAUAUGUUUUAAUUGAGUUCAAUUAACAAAAUUGUUCUC